GUACAGUGGAGCACUGUCUUGUCAAUCCCUGUUCUCAUUCAUAGAGGGAGACAGAAACCUUGAACAAGGCUCGUCAAAACUGGUCUUCACUAACGAUUUGGCUCCUGCUCACCUAGGUUAUGUUUCAAGGGUAAUGCUAGUGAAGAUGAUCCCGACAAGAGUUAGCCAAAUGAUACAGUCGUCAACUUGCUUCACAAUAACAUACUAGCUUCAUGACACACACAAAGCCUUGCGGUUUAUUUUUCGGGACAUCGACAUCCAUUAUCUUUAGGACAAAUUUGACCUAUUGUAAAUAAAGAAUACUUUGUUUGUAGUACUUUUGGUCUUCAGUGGAAAAAGCCUUUGUGAUCAAGUUCCUCUUUUUAUUUUAUAUUCCUUCAAUUUUUAAUGUGACGCAACACCACUUACAAAGUA